rnacentral:rRNA from 1 species
UACGUAGGGUGCGAGCGUUGUCCGGAAUUAUUGGGCGUAAAGAGCUCGUAGGCGGUGUGUCACGUCGGCCGUGAAAACCUGCAGCUUAACUGUGGGCGUGCGGUCGAUACGGGCAUCACUGGAGUUCGGCAGGGGAGACUGGAAUUCCUGGUGUAGCGGUGAAAUGCGCAGAUAUCAGGAGGAACACCGGUGGCGAAGGCGGGUCUCUGGGCCGAUACUGACGGCUGAGGAGCGAAAGCCAGGGGAGCAAACGGG